AAAUUGAAGAGUUUGAUCAUGGCUCAGAUUGAACGCUGGCGGCAGGCCUAACACAUGCAAGUCGAACGGUAACAGGAAGCAGCUUGCUGCUUCGCUGACGAGUGGCGGACGGGUGAGUAAUGUCUGGGAAACUGCCUGAUGGAGGGGGAUAACUACUGGAAACGGUAGCUAAUACCGCAUAACGUCGCAAGACCAAAGAGGGGGACCUUCGGGCCUCUUGCCAUCGGAUGUGCCCAGAUGGGAUUAGCUUGUUGGUGGGGUAACGGCUCACCAAGGCGACGAUCCCUAGCUGGUCUGAGAGGAUGACCAGCCACACUGGAACUGAGACACGGUCCAGACUCCUACGGGAGGCAGCAGUGGGGAAUAUUGCACAAUGGGCGCAAGCCUGAUGCAGCCAUGCCGCGUGUAUGAAGAAGGCCUUCGGGUUGUAAAGUACUUUCAGCGGGGAGGAAGGGAGUAAAGUUAAUACCUUUGCUCAUUGACGUUACCCGCAGAAGAAGCACCGGCUAACUCCGUGCCAGCAGCCGCGGUAAUACGGAGGGUGCAAGCGUUAAUCGGAAUUACUGGGCGUAAAGCGCACGCAGGCGGUUUGUUAAGUCAGAUGUGAAAUCCCCGGGCUCAACCUGGGAACUGCAUCUGAUACUGGCAAGCUUGAGUCUCGUAGAGGGGGGUAGAAUUCCAGGUGUAGCGGUGAAAUGCGUAGAGAUCUGGAGGAAUACCGGUGGCGAAGGCGGCCCCCCUGGACGAAGACUGACGCUCAGGUGCGAAAGCGUGGGGAGCAAACAGGAUUAGAUACCCUGGUAGUCCACGCCGUAAACGAUGUCGACUUGGAGGUUGUGCCCUUGAGGCGUGGCUUCCGGAGCUAACGCGUUAAGUCGACCGCCUGGGGAGUACGGCCGCAAGGUUAAAACUCAAAUGAAUUGACGGGGGCCCGCACAAGCGGUGGAGCAUGUGGUUUAAUUCGAUGCAACGCGAAGAACCUUACCUGGUCUUGACAUCCACGGAAGUUUUCAGAGAUGAGAAUGUGCCUUCGGGAACCGUGAGACAGGUGCUGCAUGGCUGUCGUCAGCUCGUGUUGUGAAAUGUUGGGUUAAGUCCCGCAACGAGCGCAACCCUUAUCCUUUGUUGCCAGCGGUCCGGCCGGGAACUCAAAGGAGACUGCCAGUGAUAAACUGGAGGAAGGUGGGGAUGACGUCAAGUCAUCAUGGCCCUUACGACCAGGGCUACACACGUGCUACAAUGGCGCAUACAAAGAGAAGCGACCUCGCGAGAGCAAGCGGACCUCAUAAAGUGCGUCGUAGUCCGGAUUGGAGUCUGCAACUCGACUCCAUGAAGUCGGAAUCGCUAGUAAUCGUGGAUCAGAAUGCCACGGUGAAUACGUUCCCGGGCCUUGUACACACCGCCCGUCACACCAUGGGAGUGGGUUGCAAAAGAAGUAGGUAGCUUAACCUUCGGGAGGGCGCUUACCACUUUGUGAUUCAUGACUGGGGUGAAGUCGUAACAAGGUAACCGUAGGGGAACCUGCGGUUGGAUCACCUCCUUA
rnacentral:rRNA from 1 species